rnacentral:lncRNA from 1 species
CGUACUCAAUAAUGGUUUGAGUAAAAAUUAAAAACAAUAUGGUUUUAUUAUCAUCGGUACUUUUUUUACCAAAUGGUACUCAAGCACUCAACGUGAUUCAGGUUUUCCUUUUUCAUAGUUGGCUUUUCAAGCAAUAAUUUGAAACAAUUGAAUGAUCUUAUAUACACCACCAAAAACUGCUGCAUCAACAACAACAACUGCAGCACAACAGAUUUAUCAUACAACCUAUGCAUAUAGAAGAAAAUUGUUAUGUUUUGUAAAUUUGCU